UCCCUCUUAGCUCAGUGGUAGAGCGCGUCACUAGUAUCCCCAUGCUGGUGAUUGAUAUCAUGACGAGGUCAGUCGUUCAAGUCGGCUAGAGGGAA